UUUUUGUCACUUAUUAUCCUUGUUUCGGUAGGAAAUAGCUUGCAUAUCGCACAUAUAGAUGAUUAGAUCUACAUUGUCUACUUUUAUUUAAUGAGUGCAAAAACAAAUUUCUGUAAUUUCGCGUAUAGAAACACGUAUCGAUUAUUUAAUGUAUGAAUAAUUGGCAUAGACUAUAUACGUUUCCAGGAACUGGACAAUUUAUUGUCCGACCACUUUGGGCGAACUCCAUCGGCAUCUCAGGUGAGCUCAAAUUCCGAUGAUGGGACUUAUAUAAAUUCCCCAAAUGAUCAUUCAUUUAGUGAGGACGAAAACAGUUCAGCAGCAAAUAGUGUUGAUUGUAGAGCCAGAAAUUUCAUUCACCAACAUGACAUUGCAUGUAACAACAGUAAUGAACUCGUAUGAAAGUGAUGUGAACGAUACAUACAUUGUCAGUGGUGCAUGCGCCAGUGGUGACAUGGACGCUGACUAUGCAACUGUCAGGCAGUUUCUCGAGAUCGGAUGUGGUUGCAAGAGUAAGUGUACUGUUAAUUUUGAAAUUGGCCAGGUAUACCAUCAUAUAUUGAACAUGAGAGAAUUGACAAAGGAAGAGAAGGAUAUUAUUGUCAUGAGUGAUCUUAAGUGUGGAAAUGGCCUGACUACAAAACGAGGGAAGCCAAGGAAACGUUCGAUGGUUUCAUACAAUGCAUUCCAAAAGCCAGUUUGCAAGAAAACGUUUAUGCUGGUUAAUGACAUUGGUAGAUCAGCUUUAGAAAAUCUUGUAGACCAUUAUAAGCAGAAUGGUCCAUUGCCAAGAAAGCAUGGAAACGUAGGAAAGAAACCAUCACAAGCCGUCAUUUAUGAUGAUGUAAAACGCGUGGUUGAAUUUUUGCAAAAUUAUGCGGACACGUAUGGUAUCCCCCAACCAGCAGCUCCCAGAGGAAGCGACAAUACUCCUCCAAUUUAUCUUGACAGUGGCAAAACAAAACUAACCAUUCAUAAAGAGUAUAUAGAAAGGUGUCGCGAGGCUGGGGUUAGAUCUUUGCAGCGAACUGCUUUCUGUGAAAUUUGGAAAAGCUGUCUGUGUCACAUUAGAAUAGCUUCGCCUAGGGAUGAUGUAUGCGCAACAUGUGAAGGCCAUAGAAAGAACAUUAUGAAGGCAAUAGAAGAGAGUGAAAAGUUAGAGGCUGCCGAAAACUUCAAACAACAUGUGAUAAAUGCCCAAAAAGAAAGAGAACUUUAUAAUGACUGUGUAAAGCGUGCCAAGGAAACAUGCAUAUUAAGUUCUGAUAAAAGAACAAACCACUAUACUUUUGAUUUUAGUCAAAAUGUAUCCAUUCCUCACUUCUCGCGGCAAAUGGGGCCAAUUUAUUUCAUGUCCCUUCGCAAAGUACAGAUUUUUGGUGUACGGAUAGAUGGACUGCCUAAACAGCUCAAUUUUUUUAUUGAUGAAAGUGAAACUAUGGGCAUAGAUGGUACCCAAACACACGGACCCAAUGCUGGCAUCUCUAUGCUGGAUAUGGUGCUAGACACCCACGGCGUGGUGAAUCGACAUGCUCCAUCCAUGCGGAUAAUUGUCCAGGUCAGAACAAGAACCGCUACCUCAUUGGCUAUUUCACAUGGCGUGUGAUGACCGGCAGACAUGACGUGAUAGAAUACCACAUGCAAAUACCAGGACAUGCCAGGUGUCUGGUUGACAGUGGAUUUGGGCAUUUAAAGAAACUUUACAGGAGGUCGAACAUUGAGACAAUAGACUCAUUGACCCAGAUGGUGAAUAUGUCCUCAGCAUCCAAUGAAGCAGUGAGGUAUCCGGCAUGGAACUGGCGGGAUUGGAAAGGGUUUUUGUCCCGACUGUUUUGUCCUGUACCAGCGAUAAGACAAUAUCAGUACUUCCGCAUGACGACGGAAGAGCCAGGUGUGGUCACAAUGCGCACGAGAGUCGGAUGUCCAGAGGUCAAGGUUACAGUGACUAUGGAUGGCGUCCAUAUUCCAUACCAACAACUGCAGAUUGUAGAGGCCAAAGGACUCAGCCGAAACAGACAGGAGUACUUGUACAAAGUUGUCAGGCCAUAUCUCAGCGAUGCUAACAAGGAUGCUACUUGCCCAUGCCCAGAAACAUCACUAUAGUUAUGUCGUCGCAUCUAUCGCAUCUACGGCGAAAUAUUACACACAUUAUAAUGUCAAUAUUUACAGGCGAAUGACAAAUACCUUGAAACUUAUUCUUCAGUUCUUUUUGAAUAUCCUUCAAUGUCUGUUUGAAUACAUUGGUGUAUUUAUAACACAUUUAAAUAACACUUUUUUAUAUCAAAUGAAAUAUUUGUAUUCACUUCUGCUCGUUUCUAUAGAAUUCAUGGCAAACGAAGAAUUAUGCAUACAAUAUAAGCUGUACGAUAAAUAAAUUGUGAACAUGCUAAGAAUAAUUAUAAAAAUUAUUAAAGAUUACUCGACUCUUAAUUUUUAGAAACAGCACUUUUGGGAAAUAAAAAUCUAACAUUUCAACACAAUGAAAUUAUUUUAUUAUUUUUAUUAUUGGAUAUUGUUGGUUUAUGUAUUAAUGGUGUAAUUGAUAAUGUUUGUUUUGAUGCGUGCAUUCCUAUGAAAAACUAAAUGAUAUGUUGUGAAAAUAUGUGAGAUUAGUUUAGAAAAAAAUGAUUUAAACUGUAUGGUUUGCUGGUCGAUGUAGAUAUAAGUGGACUUUGUUGCUAAGCAACGUAUGUUAGUUUACAGUUUAAUGUUAAUCACAACUAUUUUUAGAACAAAUAGAUACCUGAUAAUAUAUUUUUAACAAAAUAAAUGUGUUCUUAAAUGUUAUAUCAUGUCUUGUUUAUAAGUGUGGAUUUUGAUGUAACAUACAUCUGAAUGCGGUUUACUUGAAAACGUU